rnacentral:tRNA from 1 species
GCCUGGCUGGCUCAGUAAAGCAUGUGACUCUUGAUCUCAGAGUCAUGAGUUCAAGCCCCAUGUUAGGUG